rnacentral:tRNA from 1 species
AAGGGUAUGGCUCAGCGGUAGAGCAGGUGCUUAGCAGGCAUGAGGUCCUGGGUUCAAUGCCCAGUACCUCCA